CCUCCAUUCCCCAUUUUUACAAUGGUGUCUUGGUUACACUGUUUUGUGGAGAGAGAACUGGAAAAUCACCUUUGUCCUCAGAUGAGGGGCCUAAGUUUGGGGAUGCCUCCCCUAGAAGACCUUCCCAAAGAAUGACACAGAGACCAGAGAAAAGGAAUCAAGAGCUUUUAACAAACUGGAAGUGAAGUAAGUAUCACCCAGCAGGGAGAGCAGAGGAGCAGGAGGAAACAAUGGAUCCACAAUGUGACAGGUGAUGACAUCACCAGCACCCAGAAGACAAGAAAAUGGAAAUGCUCAUGUGGGCUGAGUAAGUAGCUAGAGACAGAGAGCUUGGCUAUCAUGAACGUGAUCAUUACCAGCACAUGUCAUUGUUAGUCAUCCUGAUGCUGUCAGAAUCUGAUCUUAGAAGUGAUUUGAGAUGCAAGAAGAAACAGUAAACAGAGACACAUUGACAAACCUAACACACAGCCAUGUAUCCUUUAUAAGGUGAACAGAAAAAAAGUUGAUUACAUUACAAAAUUAAAUAACCUAA